rnacentral:misc_RNA from 1 species
GAUGAAGAACGCAGCGAAAUGCGAUAAGUAAUGUGAAUUGCAGAAUUCAGUGAAUCAUCGAAUCUUUGAACGCACAUUGCGCCCGCCAGUAUUCUGGCGGGCAUGCCUGUUCGAGCGUCAUUUCAACCCUCAAGACCCCUUCGGGGGACUUGGUGUUGGGACUCGCGUUAAUUCGCGUUCCCCAAAUUGAUUGGCGGUCACGUCGAGCUUCCAUAGCGUAGUAGUAAAACCCUCGUUACUGGUAAUCGUCGCGGCCACGCCGUUAAACCCCAACUUCUGAAUGUUGACCUCGGAUCAGGUAGGAAUACCCGCUGAACUUAAGCAUAUCAAUAAGCGGAGGA